rnacentral:rRNA from 1 species
AGGCAGCAGUGGGGAAUAUUGCACAAUGGGCGCAAGCCUGAUGCAGCCAUGCCGCGUGUAUGAAGAAGGCCUUCGGGUUGUAAAGUACUUUCAGCAGUGAGGAAGGUGGGUAUGUUAAUAGCAUACUCAUUUGACGUUAGCUGCAGAAGAAGCACCGGCUAACUCCGUGCCAGCAGCCGCGGUAAUACGGAGGGUGCGAGCGUUAAUCGGAAUUACUGGGCGUAAAGCGCAUGCAGGUGGUUUGUUAAGUCAGAUGUGAAAGCCCGGGGCUCAACCUCGGAAUUGCAUUUGAAACUGGCAAACUAGAGUACUGUAGAGGGGGUAGAAUUUCAGGUGUAGCGGUGAAAAUGCGUAGAGAUCUGAAGGAAUACCGGUGGCGAAGGCGGCCCCCUGGACAGAUACUGACACUCAGAUGCGAAAGCGUGGGGAGCAAACAGGAUUAGUACCCUGGUAG